rnacentral:rRNA from 1 species
CAGUCGCCACGGGAAAACGGAGGGGGCUAGCGUUGUUCGGAAUUACUGGGCGUAAAGCGCACGUAGGCGGCUUGGUAAGUUAGAGGUGAAAGCCUGGAGCUCAACUCCAGAAUUGCCUUUAAGACUGCCGAGCUAGCAGGUGAGAGAGGUAAGUGGAAUUCCGAGUGUAGAGGUGAAAUUCGUAGAUAUUCGGAAGAACACCAGUGGCGAAGGCGGCUUACUGGCUCAUACUGGACGCUGAGGUGCGAAAGCGUGGGGAGCAAACAGGAUUAGAUACCCCGGUAGUCCCUGUCUCUUAUAC